UUCUUCCUGCGGAGUCCGUGCAUAGUGAUAGCCUUGUGCUGUCCUGUUCUCUGUGUAAAAACCCACAAGAUAGAAAGGGAGUCCAUAUUCCGCUGUGGUGAAGCAGGCCUCCCGCAUACCCUCCCUUUAAUGCGAUCGUAUGCGGACGUUGGAAGCACUAAAGCAUCGGAGAGGACACCCACCUGCACAAAGCAGGGUUUCAAUCUCACGGGGGCACGGCUCGCGCGGGUAGACA
rnacentral:other from 1 species